GUAGUCCACACUGUAAACGAUGAGUGCUAGGUGUAGGAGGUAUCGACCCCUUCUGUGCCGGAGUAAACACAAUAAGCACUCCGCCUGGGGAGUACGGCCGCAAGGUUGAAACUCAAAGGAAUUGACGGGGGCCCGCACAAGCAGCGGAGCAUGUUGUUUAAUUCGAAGCAACGCGAAGAACCUUACCAGGUCUUGACAUCCAGUAAAAACUGUAGAGAUACAGUGUGAGCUUGCUCAUACUGAGACAGGUGGUGCAUGGUUGUCGUCAGCUCGUGUCGUGAGAUGUUGGGUUAAGUCCCGCAACGAGCGCAACCCUUGUGAUUAGUUACUAACGCGUAGAGGCGAGGACUCUAAUAAGACUGCCGGGGACAACUCGGAGGAAGGUGGGGACGACGUCAAAUCAUCAUGCCCCUUAUGACCUGGGCUACAAACGUGCUACAAUGGCCACUACAGAGAGCAGCGAACUCGCAAGGGCAAGCGAAUCUCAUAAAAGUGGUCCCAGUUCGGAUUGUGGGCUGCAACCCGCCCACAUGAAGCCGGAGUUGCUAGUAAUCGCGAAUCAGCAUGUCGCGGUGAAUACGUUCCCGGGCCUUGUACACACCGCCCGUCACACCAUGGGAGUUGAAUUCAUUCGAAGCGGGGAUGCUAAAAUAGCUACCUUCCACAGUGGAUUUAGCGACUGGGGUG
rnacentral:rRNA from 1 species